AAGUUGUUAUAGUUAAAAAGUCAAUACUUGAACCUUGGGUCGGGCUGGAGAGUCAUGGCCUCCACGAGCUGUGGGGAAACCAGGACUUUGCCACACAAGGCUCGUGAGUUUAAACCAGGCCAUUGCGUGAACAUUACUUUGAAUAAUAGACCAGGAUCUGUGAUUCCAUUUUGUUGGUCUCUAGGGCCGCCAUAAUGAUUACUAGGGAUCGUUGGGGCGUCAGUAACCAACUCUCGGAGCUGGAAUUUCUUAGAUUUGUUCAAGUCUAACUGCCACAAACGCAUUUACCAAAGAUGUUCUCACUGCUCAGUUAUUAACGAAAUUAGGUGAUUGGAGAUGAUCAGAUACGAUCAAAGUCCUAGUCAACUUUCCA
rnacentral:ncRNA from 1 species